UACGAAGGGGGCUAGCGUUGUUCGGAAUUACUGGGCGUAAAGGGCGCGUAGGCGGAUUGAUCAGUUUGGUGUGAAAGCCCGGGGCUCAACCUCGGAACUGCAUCCAAAACUGAUUCACUAGAGUACGAUAGAGGGAGGUAGAAUUUCCUGUGUAGCGGUGAAAUGCGUAGAUAUAGGAAGGAAUACCGAUGGCGAAGGCGGCUCACUGGCUCGAUACUGACGCUGAGGUGCGAAAGUGUGGGGAGCAAACAGG
rnacentral:rRNA from 1 species